rfam:Schistosoma mansoni strain Puerto Rico chromosome 1, complete genome
AUCCAGCUAACGAGUCCCAAAUAGGUUGAAACGAGCGUCAAACUGGAU